rnacentral:rRNA from 1 species
UGGGGAAUUUUGGACAAUGGGCGAAAGCCUGAUCCAGCAAUGCCGCGUGUGUGAAGAAGGCCUUCGGGUUGUAAAGCACUUUUGUCCGGAAAGAAAUCCUUGGCUCUAAUACAGUCGGGGGAUGACGGUACCGGAAGAAUAAGCACCGGCUAACUACGUGCCAGCAGCCGCGGUAAUACGUAGGGUGCAAGCGUUAAUCGGAAUUACUGGGCGUAAAGCGUGCGCAGGCGGUUUGCUAAGACCGAUGUGAAAUCCCCGGGCUCAACCUGGGAACUGCAUUGGUGACUGGCAGGCUAGAGUAUGGCAGAGGGGGGUAGAAUUCCACGUGUAGCAGUGAAAUGCGUAGAGAUGUGGAGGAAUACCGAUGGCGAAGGCAGCCCCCUGGGCCAAUACUGACGCUCAUGCACGAAAGCGUGGGGAGCAAACAGGAUUAGAUACCCUGGUAGUCCACGCCCUAAACGAUGUCAACUAGUUGUUGGGGAUUCAUUUCCUAGUAACGUAGCUAACGCGUGAAGUUGACCGCCUGGGGAGUACGGUCGCAAGAUUAAAACUUAAAUGAAUUGACGGGGUCAUAGCUGUUUCCU